rnacentral:tRNA from 1 species
GCGGCUAUGGUGUAACGGUUAACACUACAGAUUGUGGUUCUGUCAAUUCGGGUUCGAUUCCCGGUAGCCGCC